CCUACGGGAGGCAGCAGUGGGGGAUAUUGCACAAUGGGGGAAACCCUGAUGCAGCGACGCCGCGUGUGGGAAGACGGUCCUCUGGAUUGUAAACCACUGUCCCCAGGGACGAAGAUGACGGUACCUGGGGAGGAAGCUCCGGCUAACUACGUGCCAGCAGCCGCGGUAAUACGUAGGGAGCAGGCGUUGUCCGGAAUUACUGGGUGUAAAGGGAGCGUAGGCGGGAUGGCAGGUUGGGGGUUAAGUCUACCGGGUCAACUGGUAGUCGCACUCAAAACUGCUAUUCUUGAGUGAAGUAGAGGCAGGCGGAAUUCCUAGUGUAGCGGUGAAAUGCGUAGAUAUUAGGAGGAACACCAGUGGCGAAGGCGGCCUGCUGGGCUUUUACUGACGCUGAGGCUCGAAAGUGUGGGGAGCAAACAGGAUUGGAUACCCCAGUAGUC
rnacentral:rRNA from 1 species